UGAGGAAUAUUGGUCAAUGGGGGCAACCCUGAACCAGCGACGCCGCGUGAAGGAUGACAGGGCUUUGCCCCGUAAACUUCUGUCGGGAGGGAAAAAAGGACUGUUUGGCGGUCUGGGAUUGUACCUCUAAAGGAAGCACCGGCUAACUACGUGCCAGCAGCCGCGGUAAUACGUAGGGUGCAAACGUUGUCCGGAAUUACUGGGUGUAAAGGGUGCACAGGCGGUUUUGUGCGUCAGAGGUAAAAUCCCACAGCUCAACUGUGGACCUGCCUUUGAUACGGCGAGACUUGAGUACAAGAGAGGAUGAUAGAAUUCCUGGUGUAGCGGUGAAAUGCGUAGAUAUCAGGAGGAAUACCAGUGGCGGAGGCGGUAAUCGGGCUUGUAACUGACGCUUAAGCACGAAAGCAUGGGUAGCGAACA
rnacentral:rRNA from 1 species